GACGAACGCUGGCGGCGUGCUUAACACAUGCAAGUCGAGCGGUAAGGCCCUUUCGGGGGUACACGAGCGGCGAACGGGUGAGUAACACGUGGGUGACCUGCCUUUAGCUCUGGGAUAAGCCUGGGAAACUGGGUCUAAUACCGGAUACGACUCCGCGGUGCAUGCUGUGGGGUGGAAAGCCUUGUGCGGCUGGAGAUGGGCCCGCGGCCUAUCAGCUUGUUGGUGGGGUGAUGGCCUACCAAGGCGACGACGGGUAGCCGGCCUGAGAGGGCGACCGGCCACACUGGGACUGAGACACGGCCCAGACUCCUACGGGAGGCAGCAGUGGGGAAUCUUGCGCAAUGGGCGAAGCCUGACGCAGCGACGCCGCGUGAGGGAUGACGGCCUCGG
rnacentral:rRNA from 1 species